rnacentral:rRNA from 1 species
UACGAAGGGGGCUAGCGUUGCUCGGAAUCACUGGGCGUAAAGGGUGCGUAGGCGGGUCUUUUUAAGUCAGGGGUGAAAUCCUGGAGCUCAACUCCAGAACUGCCUUUGAUACUGAAGAUCUUGAGUCCGGGAGAGGUGAGUGGAACUGCGAGUGUAGAGGUGAAAUUCGUAGAUAUCGGGAGGAACACCAGUGGCGAAGGCGGCGAUCUGGGUCGAUACUGACGUUGAGGUGCGAAAGCGUGGGGAGCAAACAGG